AGCAACGGACGACCGUUGCGUAGAUAGAUCAAUAGCGGGACGGCCCGC
rfam:Pseudomonas syringae pv. tomato str. DC3000, complete genome.